rnacentral:piRNA from 1 species
UCGAAGCGGACGAUGAUCGGCUCAAC